GACGAACGCUGGCGGCGUGCCUAAUACAUGCAAGUAGAACGCACAGUUUAUACCGUAGCUUGCUACACCAUAAACUGUGAGUUGCGAACGGGUGAGUAACGCGUAGGUAACCUGCCUGGUAGCGGGGGAUAACUAUUGGAAACGAUAGCUAAUACCGCAUAAUAUUGAUUAUUGCAUGAUAAUUGAUUGAAAGAUGCUAUUGCAUCACUACCAGAUGGACCUGCGUUGUAUUAGCUAGUAGGUGAGGUAACGGCUCACCUAGGCGACGAUACAUAGCCGACCUGAGAGGGUGAUCGGCCACACUGGGACUGAGACACGGCCCAGACUCCUACGGGAGGCAGCAGUAGGGAAUCUUCGGCAAUGGACGAAAGUCUGACCGAGCAACGCCGCGUGAGUGAAGAAGGUUUUCGGAUCGUAAAGCUCUGUUGUAAGAGAAGAACGGGUGU
rnacentral:rRNA from 1 species